rnacentral:rRNA from 1 species
UACGUAGGGUGCAAGCGUUAAUCGGAAUUACUGGGCGUAAAGCGUGCGCAGGCGGCUUUGCAAGACAGAUGUGAAAUCCCCGGGCUUAACCUGGGAACUGCAUUUGUGACUGCAUGGCUGGAGUGCGGCAGAGGGGGAUGGAAUUCCGCGUGUAGCAGUGAAAUGCGUAGAUAUGCGGAGGAACACCGAUGGCGAAGGCAAUCCCCUGGGCCUGCACUGGCGCUCAUGCACGAAAGCGUGGGGAGCAAACAGG